CGCGGCCUAUCAGCUUGUUGGUAGGGUAACGGCCUACCAAGGCAACGACGGGUAGCUGGUCUGGGAGGACGAUCAGCCACACUGGCACCGCGACACGGGCCAGACUCCUACGGGAGGCAGCAGUGAGGAAUAUUGCGCAAUGGGCGAAAGCCUGACGCAGCGACGCCGCGUGGGGGAUGAAGGUCUUCGGAUUGUAAACCCCUUUCAGGAGGGAAGAUGGGGCGGGCAACCGCUCGGGCGGUACCUCCAGAAGACGCCACGGCUAACUUCGUGCCAGCAGCCGCGGUAAUACGAAGGUGGCAAGCGUUGUUCGGAUUUACUGGGCGUAAAGAGAGCGUAGGCGGUCUGGUAAGCCCUGCGAGAAAGCCCCCGGCACAACCGGGGAAGGUCACAGGGGACUGCCUGACUAGAGGACGGGAGAGGAGCGCGGAAUUCCCGGUGUAGCGGUGAAAUGCGUAGAGAUCGGGAGGAAGGCCGGUGGCGAAGGCGGCGCUCUGGAACGAUCCUGACGCUGAGGCUCGAAAGCGUGGGGAGCAAACAGGAUUAGAUACCCUGGUAGUCCACGCCCUAAACGAUGGGCACUAAGUGUCGGCGGGUUACCGCCGGUGCCGCAGCUAACGCAAUAAGUGCCCCGCCUGGGGAGUACGG
rnacentral:rRNA from 1 species